UGCCAGACUCCUACGGGAGGCAGCAGUGGGGAAUAUUGCACAAUGGGGGGAACCCUGAUGCAGCGACGCCGCGUGGGUGAAGGAGUAUUUCGGUAUGUAAAGCCCUAUCAGCAGGGAAGAACAAUGACGGUACCUGACUAAGAAGCACCGGCUAAAUACGUGCCAGCAGCCGCGGUAAUACGUAUGGUGCAAGCGUUAUCCGGAUUUACUGGGUGUAAAGGGAGCGUAGACGGCAGCGCAAGUCCGAAGUGAAAGCCCGGGGCCCCACCGCGGGCCUGGUUUGGAAACUGUGAAGCUGGGGUGCGGGAGGGGCAGGCGGAAUUCCUGGUGUAGCGGUGAAA
rnacentral:rRNA from 1 species